GAUGAACGCUAGCGGCAGGCCUAAUACAUGCAAGUCGGACGGGAUUGUGGAGCUUGCUUCACAUGAGAGUGGCGCACGGGUGCGUAACACGUAUGUAACCUACCCUUGUCAGGGGGAUAGCCUCUCGAAAGAGAGAUUAAGACCGCAUAACAUUGUUUUGUGGCAUCACAGAACAAUCAAAUAUUUAUAGGACAAGGAUGGGCAUGCGGAACAUUAGCUAGUUGGUAAGGUAACGGCUUACCAAGGCUACGAUGUUUAGGGGAUCUGAGAGGAUGGCCCCCCACACUGGUACUGAGACACGGACCAGACUCCUACGGGAGGCAGCAGUAAGGAAUAUUGGUCAAUGGGCGGAAGCCUGAACCAGCCAUGCCGCGUGCAGGAAGACGGCCCUACGGGUUGUAAACUGCUUUUACAGGGGAAUAAACCUCGGUACGUGUACCGAGCUGAAUGUACUCUGAGAAUAAGGAUCGGCUAACUCCGUGCCAGCCGCCGCCGCGG
rnacentral:rRNA from 1 species